AGUAUCCCAUUCUACGCCUGCCGACCGACACGUUCCCCCCUCUCUCGCCCGACGCCACCCACCACUCGUUCCCCACCACUCGUCUCUCUCUCGCGCGCGACGCCGUCCUCUCCCCGUCGAUGUGCCCUCUCGCCGGCAUCUUGCUCCGCACCGUCGCCUAGCUCACCGCUCCCCAUGCAUCGCCGCCUAGCUCACCGCUCCCAACGCGCCACCCUCUCAAACUCCGGCAAUGCACUGCUGGGCGAGGAGUAGAUGCAGAAAGCUGCCAUUUUUAUGCGCCGGCAACGCGCUGGCGCUAGAUCUGAGUGCGUUGGCGCUCGAUCUGCUUCGUGGAGAGGCAUGAAGGAGGCGCUGAAGCGGAGCCGGAGCGGCGCCGGCGCGGGCGUGAAGGCGGCGGCAGUAGGAGCUGGAGCCCGAGCAGGUGGAGGUGGAGCCGCAUCUGGACCUUGUACUGUAUCAAGAUGGAUGGAGUAGAGAGCCUAGAGUAGGAAAGAGCCUUGGACCGUAGCCAUGGACAGCGCAUGACAGAGCCAUGGACAGUGCAACAUCACAAACUUCAUUCCUGUAGAGCCUGAUGCAGCGCAGCAUCACAACCUUGAUGGAAGGAGGCCAGGCCAUGAAGAGAAAAGCUCCUGCCCAUAUCGAUUCAAGAGGAGAGGAGGGCCAUGGAGGGAGAAGCCUGCUGCUGCAAUACCUACCUUGUCGUCCUCAUGGUGGGGUGUAGUUGAGGUUUGGGAGAUCCAUGUUCUCCAGGCAACUGAAAAGAACUUUCAAGAUUGUUUUAAAGAAGGGCUAUUGAAAAAAGAUGUAUGAGAGUAUUAGUGACUCUCAUGUGGGCAUGCUGCACUUUUCAGGUAGCAGAUGCAGAGGGAGUAAUGGGCGAGGAGAUGAACCUAGGCGAGCAAAAUUGAGAACUCUAGCUAAAGCAGCUCCUGCCCAGCGGCGAGGACUUCAGCGGCAGCAACACCUGUGCGUGGGGAGGAACAGCCCCUGGGCGCGCGCAGGCAGCAGCUCGCCUCCACCAGCGGGCGGCAGCAGAGCACCAGCUCGCCUCCACCAGUGGCCAGCAGUAGAGCAGCAGCUCGUCUCCACCAGCGGGCGGCAGCAGAGCACCACCUGGGCGCGCGCGGGCCAGGAGGAGCCCCUGGCGUGGGAGAGGAGGAGCCCGGGGGUGGAGAUG